CAGUAGCCACGGUAAUACAGAGGGUGCAAGCGUUAAUCGGAAUUAUUGGGCGUAAAGGGUGCGUAGGUGGUCAUUUAAGUCAGAUGUGAAAUCCCAGGGCUUAACCUUGGAAUUGCAUUUGAUACUGGGAAGCUAGAGUAUGGGAGAGGAUGGUAGAAUUCCAGGUGUAGCGGUGAAAUGCGUAGAGAUCUGGAGGAAUACCGAUGGCGAAGGCAGCCAUCUGGCCUAAUACUGACGCUGAGGUACGAAAGCAUGGGGAGCAAACAGGAUUAGAUACCCCUGUAGUCCCUGUCUCUUAUAC
rnacentral:rRNA from 1 species